UUAUGGCCAAAGCACAUUGAAACACUAGUUUCCAUACGAUCACUGAAGUUAAGCAACAUUGAGCCUGGUCUGUACCUAGAUGGGUAACCACUUGGGAAUACCAAAUGC